rnacentral:lncRNA from 1 species
GCUCUCAGUUUUGAAGGCUGUCAGCCCCCUGAUUCCCACUCUGCACUCUAUUUCUGUGUCUUUGUCUUAAUUCCUCUAGCGCUGCUGGGUUAGGGUCUCCACGACUGAGCUGGUCUCAGCAAGCGGUGCUCAACAUGGGGGCUUGAACCCAGGAUGAAGAGUCGCUGGAGCGGUGGUUGGAGAACCUGGAAGUAAGCUGGAGAACACCCGAGUACUCUUAAGCAAUCCCCGUGGCCAAAACCAGCAGCUGAUUUGGAUACCAUGAAGACACCUGAAACCUUAUCAUGAGCCAGAUGCCGAGGAAGAGAUUUUGCGAGGGACCCAAGGACCACCCUGUUGCAGCCAAGUCCAGACUGACAAUAAGGCCUCCUUUCCUGUUUGUAGUGGGUGAUUUAAAACUUGAUCUCUCUAGAUCAAGCUUUUUUUUUUUUUUUUUUGAGCUAUACUUCAGCUCAAAAAGAGGAGCUUUUUGAUGUGAUUUGUCAAGAAUGUAGAUUGUUUUCUUGUGUGAAUUCUUCCCUGUAUAAUCCUGAUCAUUCUAUUUUAGUGGUAAGAGCCCGAGAAGGAGUAUGGAUACCUGUAAGGCUUUCCCGUCCUUGGAAAGCCUCUCCUUCUGUGCAUAUUAUUACUGAAAUUCUUCAAAAGAUUUUGAGGCACUCUUGGCGUUAAAUUGCUGCUUUAAUUUUAGUCAUUAUGGGAUGAUUGCUGUCACAGCUACUGCCACGGCAGCUGGAGUUGCUUUGCAUUCCACAGUACAAACAGCAGACUAUGUAAAUAAUUGGCAGAAAAUUUCUACUCUGCUGUGGAAUUCCCAAACUAAUAUAGACCAGAAACUAGCUAAUCAAAUCAAUGAUCUCCAACAAACUAUAAUGUGGCUAGGAGAUUGAGUAGUUAGUCUAGAAUAUAGAAUGCAGUUACAAUGUGAUUGAGAUACUUCUGAUUUUUGCAUUACUCCUCAUCUGUAUAAAGAAACAGAGCAUGAGUGGGAAAGAGUUAAGAGACAUUUAAAGGGUCAUACUGGAAAUUUAUCUUUGGAUAUUGCAAAACUGAAGGAACAAGCAUUUCAAGCCUCUCAGGCAUAUCUGACGCUAAUGCCAGGAACUGAAGUGCUUGAAGGAGCUGCAGACGGAUUAGCAGCUAUUAACCCGUUAAAAUGGAUCAAGACACUUGGAGGGUCUGUGAUUUCAAUGGUGAUUGUGCCUUUAAUCUGUGUUGUUUGUCUUUGUGCAGUCUGCAGAUGGGGAUCCCCAAUCCUGUGAGAAGGAGCCCACCAUGACAAAGCUGCCUUUGCCUUUAUUGCUUUGCAAAAAAACAAUAAAUAAAUAAAUAAAGAGGGACAUGCUGGUAGCGAGCUCUAAGCCUGUCAUAAACAGGCCUUAAAGAAACUGGCCAUAAACAGGAUUUCUGCAGCAAUGUGACAUGCUAGUGACGGCUAUCACGUACACUGCUAAAAGUUGUUGGUUUACUGGAGCAGGACAAGGAAAACCUGGCCCACCCAGAGUGGAAAACUGCUCAAACCACAAACAAUAGCAGGAGCGGCCUGUGCCUUAACAACAUGCUUUUGCUGCAGAAAAUCAGCCAGAGCCUCUUUCUCUGCUCCUCACUAGGAAUGCUUUUAGUUAAUCUAUAAUCUGUAGAAACUAUGCUUAUCCUGGCUUUCUGUCAAUAAUGUGUGGGUCGAACUCUGUUCGUGGUGCUCAGCU